rnacentral:sRNA from 1 species
UUUUAGCUAGCAAACACCUGCGUUAGCGAUUGUAGUGGUAGCUUUUGGUGAGGCAAUCAUCGAACCAAAACUUUUAACGGAAAGCGCGACUACCG